CCAGUCUUAUUUCAUGCAAUGUUUGCCUCACUCGUUCAGGUGGAGGAGGGACUCCGGGGCGAGUCCGGAAAGAGGUGACCAGUUUGAGCGGUAAGGGACAGAACUGCUACAGGGCUUUUGUCCUUGAUGGAGUGUGGAAGCCAUUCAGUUGGGGGACUGUGGUCAGGAGACGGCACUUAUAAACAGACUGACCAGCGGUUCCAGAGUCUUCCUGUCCAGAGAGGAGAGCCAGCACUUCAUCAAAGAGCACAUGAUACAUUAUGAGACCUGUGCAUGAUUUUGGCAUCAUUGUAGCCAAAUACUGAUAUGUUCCACCCUCAACUGUGAGGUGGUCGUUGAACUUUUGUCUCGCAAACUCCAGGACCACACACAAAUCAUCCAGAUGAGGGCGUUGUGUGCUCUGGCCUGUCUGAUUUCUUCAGAUUUCCUGUCUCUAGGCCAUAUUUACAAUAUCUCUCAUAAACACCUCAAACAACUUAGUGAAGAAACCGCAGGCCAUGUUGCCAACAAGGCAACCUAGCUCUUAAGGCAGUUUGAGGCCGUGGUUUGUUGUGUCACAAAUUCCAAAUGUGACUGUUCCGGUUGUCCAACCUCUGCCAGCUCUCCGCUUUCAGAUCAGCCCUCUGAAUCUAUAACCGUCCCCUUUGUUCCGGGACAGUUAGGAGACAAUGCAACCUUUGUUAUCCCAUCAGAGGAGACCCUUUCUACACAACACCUACAGGGUAACAGCACUACACCUGGGUCUCAUAUGAAAAGAGAAAAAGAAAAGGGGAAGUACAGGAACACGGAAACCUCUAAGAUCUCAGAACCACCCAGACUGUCACUCUUCAGUGGAAUGGAGUUAGUCAACAGAAGCAAACCUGUAUGUUUGGUUGAGCCUGUUCCUGUCGAGUCAGAUGCCCAGAUAAGUGUAGAAGCCACUACAGGCACAGACUGUGUAAUUGAGAAAAGCUGUGAGAGAACUGCAGGCUCACACACAUCUAGUGAGCAAGUGUCUGUAUUCUCCUUCCUCAAUCUCUGAUGCCAACAUUCAUUUACGGUUAUGUGCUGAUUUGGGGGAAAAUAACUUUUUUCUUCUAAUAAUGAUAUAAUAAUUGCUGCAACUGACCAUGUUUACAUGCACAUGAAAAUGUUAGUCUUCGGUAACCUGAAUACCUGAUUAAAGCGAUAUUCUGACUUAUGCUUGCGUUAAUCGUAAUUUUGAGUCACGUAAACAACUUAUUAGGAAGAUCAACUGUUUGUUUAUAUCUGUGCAUGUCUAGAUGUGUGUAGUUAUGAGUGAACAAUGCUGGAGCAAAUGGGAGCCUGUUUUUUUUUUAAAUGUCGUGACCUGUCC
ensembl:lncRNA